rnacentral:rRNA from 1 species
GACGAACGCUGGCGGCGUGCCUAAUACAUGCAAGUCGAGCGAAGUUUUUCUGGUGCUUGCACUAGAAAAACUUAGCGGCGAACGGGUGAGUAACACGUAAAGAACCUGCCUCAUAGACUGGGACAACUAUUGGAAACGAUAGCUAAUACCGGAUAACAGCAUUAACUGCAUGGUUGAUGUUUAAAAGUUGGUUUUGCUAACACUAUGAGAUGGCUUUGCGGUGCAUUAGCUAGUUGGUGGGGUAAAGGCCUACCAAGGCGACGAUGCAUAGCCGACCUGAGAGGGUGAUCGGCCACACUGGGACUGAGACACGGCCCAGACUCCUACGGGAGGCAGCAGUAGGGAAUCUUCCGCAAUGGGCGAAAGCCUGACGGAGCAACGCCGCGUGAGUGAAGAAGGAUUUCGGUUCGUAAAGCUCUGUUGUUAGGGAAGAAUGAUUGUGUAGUAACUAUACACAGUAGAGACGGUACCUAACCAGAAAGCCACGGCUAACUACGUGCCAGCAGCCGCGGUAAUACGUAGGUGGCAAGCGUUGUCCGGAAUUAUUGGGCGUAAGGCGCGCGCAGGUGGUUUAAUAAGUCUGAUGUGAAAGCCCACGGCUCAACCGUGGAGGGUCAUUGGAAACUGUUAAACUUGAGUGCAGGAGAGAAAAGUGGAAUUCCUAGUGUAGCGGUGAAAUGCGUAGAGAUUAGGAGGAACACCAGUGGCGAAGGCGGCUUUUUGGCCUGUAACUGACACUGAGGCGCGAAAGCGUGGGGAGCAAACAGG